GAUGAACGCUGGCGGCGUGCUUAACACAUGCAAGUCGAACGGACAGGCCCGGCUUGCUCGGUGCUCGAGUUACGAACGGAUGAGUAACACACGGGUGAUCUGCCUCUAUCUUCGGCAUAAGCUAGUUAGACUGGGUCUAGUACCGGCUAGGACAUUCGUUUAACGGCGUUUUUGAAAAGUGUUUUCGGGUAUGGAUGGGCCUGCUGCCUAUGAGCUCGUUGGAGUGGUAAUUGGCUACCAUGGCGUCGAAGGGUAGCCGGCCUGGGAGGGUGGACGGCCACAUUGGGACUGAGAUACGGACCAGACUGCUACGGGAGGCAGUAGUGGAGAAUAUUGCACAAUGGGCGCAAGCCUGAUGCAGAGACGCUGCGUGGGGGAUGCCGGCCUUCGGGUUGUAAACCUCUUUCGACAGGGAUGAAGCUUUGGUGACGGUACCUGUAUAGGAAGCAACGGCUAACUACGUG
rnacentral:rRNA from 1 species